rnacentral:rRNA from 1 species
CGUGAACCUUUACUAUAGCUUGACACUGAACAUUGAGCCUUGAUGUGUAGGAUAGGUGGGAGGCUUUGAAGUGUGGACGCCAGUCUGCAUGGAGCCGACCUUGAAUACCACCCUUUAAUGUUUGAUGUUCUAACGUUGGCCCGUAAUCCGGGUUGCGGACAGUGUCUGGUGGGUAGUUUGACUGGGGCGGUCUCCUCCUAAA